UACGUAGGGUGCAAGCGUUGUCCGGAAUUAUUGGGCGUAAAGAGCUCGUAGGCGGUUUGUCGCGUCUGCUGUGAAAACCCGAGGCUCAACCUCGGGCCUGCAGUGGGUACGGGCAGACUAGAGUGCGGUAGGGGGAGAUUGGAAUUGCCUGGUGUAGCGGUGGAAUGCGCAGAUAUCAGGAGGAACACCAAUGGCGAAGGCAGAUCUCUGGGCCGUAACUGACGCUGAGGAGCGAAAGCAUGGGGAGCGAACAGG
rnacentral:rRNA from 1 species